rnacentral:rRNA from 1 species
AGUGAACGCUGGCGGUAGGCCUAACACAUGCAAGUCGAACGGCAGCACAGUAAGAGCUUGCUCUUACGGGUGGCGGGUGGCGGACGGGUGAGGAAUACAUCGGAAUCUACUUUUUCGUGGGGGAUAACGUAGGGAAACUUACGCUAAUACCGCAUACGACCUACGGGGGAAAGCAGGGGAUCUUCGGACCUUGCGCGAUUGAAUGAGCCGAUGUCGGAUUAGCUAGUUGGCGGGGUAAAGGCCCACCAAGGCGACGAUCCGUAGCUGGUCUGAGAGGAUGAUCAGCCACACUGGAACUGGGACACGGUCCAUACUCCUACGGGAGGCAGCAGUGGGGAAUAUUGGACAAUGGGCGCAAGCCUGAUCCAGCCAUACCGCGUGGGUGAAGAAGGCCUUCGGGUUGUAAAGCCCUUUUGUUGGGAAAGAAAAGCAGCAGGUUAAUACCCCGCUGUUCUGACGGUACCCAAAGAAUAAGCACCGGCUAACUUCGUG